UUAAUGACUGUAUAGUACUACCCUGGGAGCAAUAGACUGAGGCCAUUUCCCAAAUGUCGUGUUUUAAAACAUUCAGCCAGAAAAGAACUUCACUGUGUGAAAUUUAUUUUGAUUAAAGCUGGAAUUUGCCUCCUUAUUCAGAAGAAAAAGAAAACACAAAAACAUGAUCUCAGGUUUUCUGCCUGCUGCGAUUCUGGCUCUAAGUGAUGAUCAUACAGUUUUCAGUUCUUCAGGCAUCAGGGAAAGUCAGACACUUAACAGAAGCAAGCACUUCAAGCCUGUGAUAGGAAUUGUGAAGACUACUGUAGGGAUUACAUUUAUGUUACCUCCCUCUCUUUAAAGCAUAGGGGUGACAUCUUUGGCUCUAAAAGGCGCUGAACAUUCUGUUUCCUUGGGUUUUGUUUCCUACAGGUAAUUAAUGCACUGUUAAAUGAUUUAUAUUUUAAAAACACCGUUCUUUGGUCUUUUGAAGAUAAAUACGUUCAGGAUGCCUUCAUACUUUAACAGAAAAGCAAAAUGCGCUUGAGCCACUUAAAAAAAGACUUUAAAAAAUGUGUAUGUUUAUGUUUAUAUGUAGCUCAUGUGUGUGUGCAGUGCCCGGGAGGCCAGAGGAAGGUGUUCGAGCUAUUGACGCUGGAGUUAUAGGCAGUUGGGAGCUACCUUGUGGGUGCUGGGAACCUGUCUUACUCAGUCUGUGGAGUUGCUUAGUCCUUUUUUUAAAAAGCUGAAUCCUGUAUAGUGGGUAUUCUGCUGAUGUCAUCUGGGGCUUCUGGUGAUGCUGAACUACAGUCGGGAGUAGGUGUUGCCUGGGCCAUCCCUAAAGCUGAGUCAGCCUGCCUUUCUCCAGUGCAGUGGGAAGCUAAGGAGGCCAGGUGCCAAUGUUUGACAUUCAGCCUGGCACACUCCACAUGGGCCUGGUUCUGGCAAUCUUUGGCUUGAUCUAAGCUGUGCACUUCCACGCCGCUUUCGAGGGCAGAACUCGGUCAGGCAGAGUAAUGGGAGCGUGGGCACAUGGGGAGAAAAGCCGUUGGCAGCUCUGAAUGGCAUCGCUAACGUGGGCGACUGCUUGGGGCAAGGCCGUAGCUCCCUAGGCGGCAGCUUGAAGUGCCACCUGCAGCCUUCCUCCGGACAAUACCGUCGCGCGACCAAAACUACAACUCCCGACGUGCUCUGCGCCGCGGCCUGGCUCGGGCGGCCAGGCAAAUUUGCAGCGGCCGGCCUGACAUCGGGUGAGCUGAACUGGUUGGGCUCCUCACCCUCAAGGGGAGCCCAGUAGAUGUCAGGUUUUCCCGGAGAGACUCGCUCACUGCCAUCUGCGUGAGCCUCGGCCCCCCACAAAUGAAAACAGUUGCCUAUACACUAAGCAGCGCCAAUCACAAAAAUGUGCGGACUAAUGUCACGUGACCAAUGGGCGGUCCUCCCAGAGCUUCGGGAUCUCUAUGGUUCUCACCGACUCGCUAGAGGACGUUUGGUCCACUGGAGGACUCCCUACAUUCUUCCUCCAUUACCUCACUGCCUCCGGUGCCUGCUGGGAUAGAGGAGGACUCGGGUCCCGACUCGACUCGGUCCUCCGCCCGCCCCGGGAAUACCUCUAGCUCUCCCCGGCCGCCACCGCCCCGCCGCUUCCUCCUGUGCCCUCCCGCCGGCCUCCUUCGGGCGUCCUCACCCGUCUUGGGACUCUGCUUUUUCGGGAGCCCCCACCUAGGCGCAUGGCUCCAUGAAGCAAGAGGAAGAGAAGGCAGAGCGCGAGAGGUCCCGUCCGCCCCGGCUGUGUCUGGGUCAGGAGAGAAGGCAUUGGAAGAAGGAAUGGAAUUGGAAGAAAGAAGAUUCAUUCCAGAGACAAAAUAGCUUCCCUUUCCUAUUGUAGCUGUUUCCUCUGGGACUAUAACCUUUCUGCUUUCAGGUUCUGCAGCAUUCCAGAUCAAGAACACCAAAUCAGGAUGGGAAAAAGACGUUGUGUUCCUCCCCUUGAGCCCAAGUUGGCAGCAGGCUGUUGUGGGGUCAAGAAGCCCAAACUAUCUGGAAGUGGAACGCACAGUCACGGGAACCAGUCUACAACUGUUCCUGGCUCAAGUUCAGGACCUCUUCAAAACCACCAGCAUGUGGACAACAGCAGUGGUCGGGAAAAUGUAUCGGACUUAACUCUGGGACCUGGAAACUCUCCUAUUACACGAAUGAAUACUGCAUCUGGAGCCCUGAGCCCUCUCCCCCGGCCCAAUGGAACUGCCAAUAGCACUAAGAACCUGGUGGUGACUGCAGAGAUGUGCUGCUACUGCUUUGAUGUGCUCUACUGUCACCUCUAUGGCUUCCCACAGCCACGGCUUCCUAGAUUCACCAAUGACCCCUAUCCUCUCUUUGUGACCUGGAAGACAGGGCGAGACAAGCGGCUUCGUGGCUGCAUUGGGACCUUCUCAGCCAUGAAUCUUCAUUCAGGACUCAGGGAAUACACAUUAACCAGUGCACUUAAGGACAGCCGAUUCCCUCCCCUGACCCGAGAGGAGCUGCCCAAACUUUUCUGUUCUGUCUCCCUCCUUACUAACUUUGAAGAUGCCAGUGACUACCUGGACUGGGAGGUAGGGGUCCAUGGAAUUCGGAUUGAAUUCAUCAAUGAAAAAGGCAUCAAACGCACAGCCACAUAUUUACCUGAGGUUGCUAAGGAACAAGUCUGGUUUUGAAAAUAAUAUGUGAAACACAGUAAUUGUUGGGUGUGAACCUGGAAUAGAGAAAAAUAUCCAGUUAAGUAUAUUAAUGAACUACUUAUGUGGAAAGCGAUCGCCUUGUUGGUUUUCAUUGUGGUUGUGUUUUAAACUUGUUCAAAAAGCAGUGUGUAUGUAGCAUAAAAAGGAUGAAUUUUAAGAUAUUUUGGUUAGGUCAUAAAUCCAAUAUGUUCCUGUUUAAAGAAUAUCAAACAUUAUAGUUUUUAGUAGUUAGAUAUUAAUUUUAGCUCAGUUAAAUAAUCAAAUUGUUUCUCCCAUUUUAAAUUUGAGAAAAUUUAAAAUUGGGAAGGGAGCUUCUAUAGUAAUUGGGAGGAUGGGGCUCAAAUUGCUGCACUUUAUUUAUUUAUUUAUUUAUUUAUCUAGCUUAAACUGGAGAGAUGGUCCAGGGUUAAGAAUGUGUGCUGCUCUUGCAGGGGACCACAUUUUGGUUCCUAGCAACCACCUCAGGUAGCUUACAAUUGCCACCUAACCCCACUGCCUUCCUUGGGCUCCUGGACACAUACCUACAUACAGACACACAAAGAGACAUAAACUAAAAACAAAUGUGAAGACUGAGGUGCGCCCAGCGGUACACACUCAAGUCCCGAUACUCAGGAGACUGAAGUAAAAGGAUCUCCUUUUUUAAGUCUGAGCAUAAACUGGGGUACACAUUACAAGACCACGUAUCCAAAACAAACAAACUAAAACAAAAAACAAAACCCAAAACCAACCAACCAACCAGUAAAGGACAUUUAGCAAUACUACAGAUGUGAAGAACUUUUCUCUCUUCACUAAGGAAAUAAUUUUCUUAUUGCUAUCAGUUCUGUCAUACCUGAAGGAAGGCUGUUCAAGGCAGUAAAAGCCACAUAAUUGAAUUCUCCCUCUUGGCUGGUGAAUGGCUCAGCAAGAGAGUCCUUCCUGCUCUUCCAGAGAACUGAAGUUUGAUUUCUGGUUCCCAAGUCUGCCUCCAUGGGGAUCCUUUGUUUCUGGCAUCUGGGGUGUAUGCACUCUGGUUCACAUAGUCAAACACACACACACACACAAUUUAAAAUAAUUAAAAAAAAUUCGCCUCUUCUGUAGUGACACAGGAUGUGAUGCCUGCAGUUCCAUCUGCGUAGGAGGCUGAGAAAUUUCUUGGAGCUGAAAGUUCAAGGUCAUCCUAGGUGUGGCUGGAGAGAUGGCUCAGUGGUUGAGAACACUGGCUGCUCUUCCAAAGGACUCAGGUUCAGUUCCCAGCACCCACGUGGCAGCUCACAACUGUCAACUCCAGUUCCAGGGAACCAGACGCCCUCAGACAUAACAUGCAGGGAAAAUACCAAUGCACAUGAAAAAAUAGUAAUAACAAAAUAAAAACAAAAAAACAAAACCCAGGUAAUAGUAGUAGUGCAUGCCUUUAGUCCCAGCAUUUGGAAGGUAGAAUGAUCUCUGGGUUAGAGGCCAGCCUGGUCUACAGAGAGUUCCAAGACAGCCAAGGCUACACAGAAAAACCUCAUCUUGACAAACUGAAAAUAAAAUACAAAGAGUAAUUCUUACUGCUUUGCAGUGGACCCAGAUUUGCUUCCCAUCACCCAUGAUGGGCUGCUUACCACCUAUAACUCCACUUUCAGGGGACCCUACAUCAUCUUCUGUCUUCAUGUGUACAUACCACCAACAUACACAUACCCAGAGAUAAAAAGUAAAAUAAAGUCUUUAAAAAAAAAAUCUAGGCAAUGUAGUGAGACCCUGUCUUUCUAAUCUGCCUUUUUAUAGAGCAGCCCUGGGUACAACAUGAUCUUCAGUAAUAUCUGGUAAGAAAGAGCGGGAGACUUGGACAGGAUCAUGGCACAAUGAGUUUUAAUGUACGUGUCAGGGUCUUAGCUGGACUGUUAGUGAGGCUGAUUGGCUUCCAGUGUGUGGGACCAUGGCCCAGUGCUUCCUUGUCCCCAGCACACUCUGUUUCUUGAAUCCCAUUUGUCUUCCUACACUGGUCAUAUUGGAGCAUGUUCCCCCCAUGUUUUGACUGUGUACUGACCCUAUUUUGGCUUGUUUUCCUCAGACUGGGAUCAGAUCCAGACAAUAGAUUCCUUGCUCAGGAAAGGUGGUUUUAAGGCUCCAAUUACCAGUGAAUUCAGAAAAUCAAUCAAACUCACAAGGUAUCGAAGUGAGAAGGUGACAAUCAGUUAUGCAGAGUAUAUUGCUUCUCGACAGCACUGUUUCCAGAAUGGCACUCUUCAUGCCCCGCCCCUCUACAAUCAUUACUCCUGACACACGGCUACAUGACCAGUCCCACCCCCCUGUGGCCACCAAUGGCUAUGACAUCAUUGGAGCAGAUGCCUCCUCUUCCUGGUCCAGUUACUUCUAUUACUGCACCAUUUUAUGAUGCUAGCUUCCGUUGCCAAGUCUGCCUCCUGCUGACUGGAGGGUGUGGGGAUACAUUGAAUGCAACAGAACAUGAGGGGCCCAAGCCUUAUAUCAGCCUUUCCUCAAUCUGGGGUUCUGUUGGAUCAGGGCUCCCCAAUAACCAGUGAGAAUGGCUGUGUGGGUUCAGAAGACCGUUGUCUGGUGAUUUCCCACAAGUAUUGGCCACACACUGAAAACUGGAAUUGACUGUGACCCAUGGAGGCUUCUUCCCCAAUCCCCCACAGCCCGCCACAUCAAUUAGCUGUACUCCCUGGCAGUCUGGGCAACGGAGACCAACAGGAACCACUUUUAGGUUGUUUUAAAUUCCUUUUUUUAAACUUCCAGUUUAUUGUGUACCAAGAGUUGAUCCACAACCUCCAUGCUUCAGAAGUGAACACCAUGUUAGGGUUGAACAUGGGCACCAUGAGCCCCUGUGAGUCCUGGAUAAGAUUCUCAAACCAAGAUCAGAAAUCCUGUGAUGACAUUUCAUCGUACAGUAAGCUGUGAAGGUUUUCAUGCUUACCCGACUCUCAGUGGACAUUCUGGUACUCUUCCUGCAUUGAGUCUCCUGCUGUGAGCUCUGUGGCAUAGCCUGCUGAGGAAUGGAAUGGAGAUGCCUAUAGAGGUCCCAAUGUCAUCGUCGUAAGCAGGUGUGAAAGGAGAGAUCUCUUCCUCACCACCCGGCUACCUCAACUCUUUUCUGGUAGCAGUGCCUAUGUAGCUGCAUCUAGGUUCUCAGAAGCACAGACAUGUAAACAGGUGGUUGGGUUGGGCUUUAGGACAUACUGUCACAGGAGAGCUUCCAGGGUCUCUGAGCUGGUUUUCUUCACAGGCAAACAUCCUGAGGGACCUUUAAGUAGGGGAGUUCUUUAUUCUGAUUUGCCUGCAGAAGUAGGAAGACUUGCUAUAUCAGUCCUCAGUAGGACUAGAACAAUGCUGUGUAAUAAAACAAGGUGAACCUUUAACUUGCCUACCAUACUGGGACUCCUCACUUCACCAGUGCAAAUGUCCAAACUGUUCGUGUUGCUCAUUUAAACUCUUGACAUUCCCGCUCCCAUCUUUACUCAUUCCAAAAUAGCUGAUAGCAAAUUCUUUUCAUUCAUUUGGUGGCAAAACGUGUAGUACUAGGAAACUAGGGAGGUGCUUUGACAGCUCUGUCUCAAAGGCACUGACUGCUCAGGCAACUCAAAGGAAACGGCCGGCUGGAAGAAAGGCUCCUGAGGAUGGCGCACUGGUUUUCAGCAACAUUCAUAGAGACUCGGGAGGCAGAUGUGGCCUCAACCUGGUGAACAUAUGUUUUGAUUUCUUUUUUUAGGAUUGAUGUGGUGAUGGUGUGGCUUUCCAAAAUGGGCAAAUAUUCAAGUCCUAGCUCAUCAGUUUCUUGUGCCAGGAAUGGAGGAAGGGAAGUAGAUCUACUUCCAUAUGUGCUAUUCUAGGCAUCACUUCAAAGUUCUUGCGGUUUUCAUUUGUUUUGUUUUGUUUUAAAACUGGGCAGAGAGGUUGUACCAGGAGUGAUGACAGACCUGGAAUGGAUGAGGGAAGUGCUGAUGACAUUGGAAUGCCCAGGAUGCAUGGCCCUUACUGCCAGGGUGGGUUCCUUCACAUACCUAGGAUGAAGGGGUCUCAUGCUGCCUGCCGAGGGGAAUGAAGGCUAUGUUAUUGACAUGUGACAGCAGGUGCUCUCAGGUGCCAUGGAUUGAUGCAGGGUGCUCAGCUCUGGACUGAGGUACCCACUUCCAAUUUGUAAAACAGUAUUGAUACAUAGGGCUACACUCAUUACUGUUCAAGCGUUCUAUGUUAAGAGUUGUUUAAUUUCUAAAGAUUUAAAGCAAAAUGCAAAAAAAAAAAAAAAAUGGUGCUAAACUUCACCCCUGAGCACUCAGUGAGACUGGUCAUGCAAGCAUCUACAGUGCCAUGCUCCUCAAGCCUGUUUUUCUUGUAGAAAUGUUGCCCUAUCUUGUCUUUCCCAAUGUAUAGUGUGUGUUUUGUUUUAUUGAGGGUGGGGUAGAAUACUUGCCAUUUAAGAAAAUGACAGAAAGACCCAGAAAGGUGGGGUUGGGGAAUCGGUAAACAAGAAUCCAGCUAGCAAGGCCCAGCAUCACACUGAAGUGGGCUCAGUGGUUUCAGAGUGAAGUCGCCUUACUCCUGCACAUUCCCUCGUGCUCCCAAUGCAGUUCUGCAGUGCAAAUGCUCAAGUUCCUCCUGCCUUGUCAAGGAGACCUGGAAAUCAGCAAGGAAAAUUAUUUGCCCCAAAAGACAUGGGCUCUAUUGGUGUCAGUCCUGACUUGAGCAUAGGCAUUCACAAGUUGAAGUACAGUCUUGGUCACCUCAUGGGAACAUGUGGCAGAUAGCUCUCAGGAAAAAGCAAUUGUGGAUUGUCCACUUGGGGGCUUUGCAUAGGGAGGUCAAGCUCUGAAUUAGAACUGAGCUGCCUUCCAUACGUUGACCAAAGCAGUGAUAAGGGUGGCCAGUUAGUGGUAGUGGAAAGGGACCGUUUCCUGCCCUGGGUUUCCUUUAGCUAUAGGCUGCAAGGUCCCCACUGCUCUCAGAGAGCCAGCUAAACUGCUGGCUUGGUUUGGAAUUUGUUUCAUCCCUAGCUGUGAGUGCCUUUUGGUCUGGAAAGUUGGCUUGUCUCAUCAUACCCACAGCUAGGACAUAUACUCUGUAAUUAUGAAUUGUCCUUGUUUUCCUGAGCUAAAAGCGAAUGUCUUUGAUCAUUAGAGUUUGUUAGUGUUGGGUUGUUUCCACUGUGAGGUUCUUAAAAUGUUUUUGCUUCCUAAUGUUAAAAUAACUCAUGUUAGAAACCCUGUACACAUGAAAAAGGGUUUGUAGUUGAGACAUUACGUAUAUUUUACUGUUUAUAAUAAAUCAUCUAUACAAAAGUCUUGGGUGUUAAUUUUAAUAUUUUGAGCAAAAUCUGUUUUCCAUGCUAUGUUAACAUCUACAAUUUCACUAAUAGUGUUACUUUCCAUUGAUUUCUGAAGCCUAGAAAACUGUUUUUGUGUGUUUUUUUUGUUUUGUUUUGUUUUGUUUGUUUCCCCGAAGAGAUUGUAUGGCCUUCACUGCAAAGACUUCAGACCAAUUACUUGUAUUACACUUGGUUGCCUCGUGGCUAUAUAACUUCUGAGUACACGUCAUCAAGAGUCCUGAAUGAAGUAUUGUAGAGAAUAAAUCAUAAUGGACAAAAACUG